rnacentral:misc_RNA from 1 species
AAGUCGUAACAAGGUCUCCGUUGGUGAACCAGCGGAGGGAUCAUUACUGAGUACUACACUCUCUACCCUUUGUGAACUAUUAUACCUGUUGCUUCGGCGGCGCCCGCAAGGGUGCCCGCCGGUCUCAUCAGAAUCUCUGUUUUCGAACCCGACGAUACUUCUGAGUGUUCCUAGCGAACUGUCAAAA